GACGAACGCUGGCGGCGUGCUUAACACAUGCAAGUCGAACGAAGAGCGAUGGAAGCUUGCUUCUAUCAAUCUUAGUGGCGAACGGGUGAGUAACGCGUAAUCAACCUGCCCUUCAGAGGGGGACAACAGUUGGAAACGACUGCUAAUACCGCAUACGAUCUAAUCUCGGCAUCGAGGAUAGAGGAAAGGUGGCCUCUACAUGUAAGCAUUCACUGAAGGAGGGGAUUGGGGCUGAUUAGCUAGUUGGUGGGGUAAGGGCCCACCAAGGCGAUGAUCCGUAGCCGGUCUGAGAGGAUGAACGGCCCAAUUGGGACUGAGACACGGCCCAGACUCCUACGGGAGGCAGCAGUGGGGAAUCUUCCGCAAUGGACGAAAGUCUGACGGAGCAACGCCGCGUGAGCGAUGACGGCCUUCGGGUUGUAAAGCUCUGUUAAUCGGGACGAAAGGCCUUCUUGCGAAUAGUGAGAAGGAUUGACGGUACCGGAAUAGAAAGCCACGGCUAACUACGUG
rnacentral:rRNA from 1 species